rnacentral:rRNA from 1 species
UAGGCCCGAACGACAGGUGGCUGCAUGGCGUGUCGUCAGCUCGUGUCGUGAGAUGUUGGGUUAAGUCCCGCAACGAGCGCAACCCCUAUCUCUAGUUGCCAGCGAUUCGGUCGGGGACUCUAGAGAUACUGCCCCGGUUAACGGGGAGAAGGUGGGGAUGACGUCAAGUCCUCAUGGCCCUUAUGCCCAGGGCUACACACGUGCUACAAUGGGCGGUACAAAGGGUAGCGAUGCCGCGAGGUGAAGCCAAUCCCAAAAAGCCGUCCACAGUUCGGAUUGGAGUCUGCAACUCGACUCCAUGAAGCCGGAAUCGCUAGUAAUCGUGGAUCAGCAUGCCACGGUGAAUACGUUCCCGGGCCUU